CCUACGGGAGGCAGCAGUGGGGAAUAUUGCGCAAUGGGGGGAACCCUGACGCAGCCAUGCCGCGUGAAUGAAGAAGGCCUUCGGGUUGUAAAGUUCUUUCGGUAUUGAGGAAGGGAUGUGUGUUAAUAACAUACAUUAUUGACGUUAAAUACAGAAGAAGCACCGGCUAACUCCGUGCCAGCAGCCGCGGUAAUACGGAGGGUGCGAGCGUUAAUCGGAAUAACUGGGCGUAAAGGGCACGCAGGCGGUUAUUUAAGUGAGGUGUGAAAGCCCUGGGCUUAACCUGGGAAUUGCAUUUCAGACUGGGUAACUAGAGUACUUUAGGGAGGGGUAGAAUUCCACGUGUAGCGGUGAAAUGCGUAGAGAUGUGGAGGAAUACCGAAGGCGAAGGCAGCCCCUUGGGAAUGUACUGACGCUCAUGUGCGAAAGCGUGGGGAGCA
rnacentral:rRNA from 1 species